UUCUAUAUUAAUCAGAACACAAUCUCAUACAUUCAAAAUCGGAGGAAAACAACACACAGAAAUCGACUUGCAAUUGCAAUUGCUCGAUCAAACAAAAGAAACCAAACUGCCGUGAAUACAAUUCGUUUUGCUACUAGGCAAUUCCUCCUCUCCAAAGGUGAAUCCUCGCAAGUGAAACGUGAUACCAAGGGGAAGAAAGUGCUUGAGAAUUAAGAAGUUGAGGUGAAUCCUCGCAAGUGAAACGUGAUACCAAGGGGAAGAAAGUGCUUGAGAAUUAAGCAGUUGAGGUUGGCAGCGAAGUGGUGGAGGAAGUGCUAUUGAGACAAG